rnacentral:piRNA from 1 species
UGGAAUAAACACACACGCAUGUC